rnacentral:rRNA from 1 species
AUUGAACGCUGGCGGCAGGCCUAACACAUGCAAGUCGAACGGUAACAGGAAGCAGCUUGCUGCUUUGCUGACGAGUGGCGGACGGGUGAGUAAUGUCUGGGAAACUGCCUGAUGGAGGGGGAUAACUACUGGAAACGGUAGCUAAUACCGCAUAACGUCGCAAGACCAAAGAGGGGGACCUUAGGGCCUCUUGCCAUCGGAUGUGCCCAGAUGGGAUUAGCUAGUAGGUGGGGUAACGGCUCACCUAGGCGACGAUCCCUAGCUGGUCUGAGAGGAUGACCAGCCACACUGGAACUGAGACACGGUCCAGACUCCUACGGGAGGCAGCAGUGGGGAAUAUUGCACAAUGGGCGCAAGCCUGAUGCAGCCAUGCCGCGUGUAUGAAGAAGGCCUUCGGGUUGUAAAGUACUUUCAGCGGGGAGGAAGGGAGUAAAGUUAAGACCUUUGCUCAUGGACGUUACCCGCAGAAGAAGCACCGGCGAACUCCGG